rnacentral:rRNA from 1 species
GAUGAACGCUGGCGGCGUGCUUAACACAUGCAAGUCGAACGGGAAACCUUUUAUUGAAGCUUCGGCAGAUUUAGCUGGUUUCUAGUGGCGGACGGGUGAGUAACGCGUGGGUAACCUGCCUUAUACAGGGGGAUAACAACCAGAAAUGGUUGCUAAUACCGCAUAAGCGCACAGGACCGCAUGGUCCGGUGUGAAAAACUCCGGUGGUAUAAGAUGGACCCGCGUUGGAUUAGCUAGUUGGCAGGGUAACGGCCUACCAAGGCGACGAUCCAGAGCCGGCCAGAGAGGGUGAACGGCCACAUUGGGACUGAGGCACGGCCCAGACUCCUACGGGAGGCAGCAGUGGGGAAUAUUGCACAAUGGAGGAAGCCCUGAUGCAGCGACGCCGCGUGAAGGAAGAAGUAUCUCGGUAUGUAAACUUCUAUCAGCAGGGAAGAUAGUGACGGUACCUGACUAAGAAGCCCCGGCUAACUACGUG